rnacentral:rRNA from 1 species
UAUCUCUGUAGAGUCUGCAUAUCAAUAAGCGGAGGAAAAGAAACUAACUAGGAUUCCCUCAGUAACGGCGAGUGUAAGCGGGAAGAGCUCAAAUUUGAGAUCUUCAAGGUUCUACCUUGACGAAUUGUAGUUUAAAGAAGUGUUUUCUGUUAGGAGUUUGAGUAAAAGUUCCUUGGAAUAGGGACAUCAUAGAGGGUGAGAAUCCCGUAUUUGACUAUUACUUCUAGCUUUGUGAUACACUUUCAAAGAGUCGGAUUGUUUGGGAAUGCAGUCCAAAAUGGGUGGUAAAUUUCAUCUAAAGCUAAAUAUUGGCGAGAGACCGAUAGCGAACAAGUACCGUGAGGGAAAGAUGAAAAGAACUUUGAAAAGAGAGUUAGACAGUACGUGAAAUUGUCAAAAGGGAAGCGUUUGACACCAGUGUUGUUUUCUCGAAAAUCAAUUAAGAAUGGCAUUGAUUCUGUGUUGUAUUGACCUUAUCAGCUUUCUUCACUUUUUUCGAGUCUUUCUUAAUGCACUUUUCGGUUAACAAGUCAACAUCAAUUUCUUUUGUUGUAAAAGAGUCAUUCGGAAGGUGGCUUUCUUUUCGGAGAAAGUGUUUAUAGCCUUAUGACUUCUACAAUCGGAGAGACUGAGGUCUGCAGCGUAGAUCCUUCUGGAUUAGAUUACACUUGUGCUAAGUUGUAACCGUUUCAUAGACAACUUGUUGACUAUAGUUAGAUCCUGUAGUAGCUUACUCGCUUAGUGCUAUUUUACCUACGCUUAGGAUGUUGACGAGACUGUCGAUCUC